rnacentral:rRNA from 1 species
GGACGGAAACGACAAGAACAAUCCUUCGGUGUGCGUUUUUGGGCGUCGAGUGGCGGACGGGUGAGUAACGCGUGGGAAUCUACCCUUUAGUUGGGGACAACAUAUGGAAACGUAUGCUAAUACCGAAUAUGCUCUACGGAGUAAAGGUGCCCUCUCCUUGGAAGGUAUCGCUAAAGGAUUAGCCCGCGUUAUAUUAGCUAGUUGGUAAGGUAAAGGCUUACCAAGGCGACGAUCUAUAGCUGGUUUGAGAGGAUGAUCAGCCACACUGGGACUGAGACACGGCCCAGACUCCUACGGGAGGCAGCACUGGGGAAUAUUGCACAAUGAGGGAAACCUUGAUGCAGCCAUGCCGCGUGUGUGAAGAAGGCCCGAGGGUUGUAAAGCACUUUCAAUUGUGAGGAAGAUUAAAGUAGCUAAUAUCUGCUUAGUUUGACGUUAACUUUAGAAGAAGCACCGGCUAGCUCUUGUGCCAAGCAGCCGCGGUAAUACAGAUGGUGCAAGCGUUAUUCGGAAUAACUGGGCGUAAAGCGCGCGUAUGGCGGACUGUUAAGUCUGUUGUGAAAGCCCUGGGCUCACCUAAGACUGGAUCCGAUAANUGGCAAUCUA